rnacentral:lncRNA from 1 species
GAGGACCUAUACCGACCAACACCUGGCCUUGGCAAAGCCAGAGCCUCCCCUGUGGUCUGGAUUGUAGGGAGCCGUCCCUGCAUUCUCCAUUACAAGAUGGCGCCUGCAUCCGGCAGGCACCGAAUGUAAACAAGAUUAUUGCGCAGGCGCUGGGUAAAUUUCCAUUCCUUGAUCUCUGCCUAUUCCGUGGCGUCAUAUGGCCGGAUGAGCUACAGCCAAUCAUAGGGUGACACGUCCCAGGCGGCGGCUGCCAGCCUUUAUUAGGGGACGGGAUUCUUGGCUCAGUGUCUCCGCUCUGGUAAGCUUAUGCUCUCCUCUCAAGACGCAUUAAAGCUUUCCUGCAGAAGGAUCCGAGUGUCCCGUGUAUGAUUUCUUGCUGGCGAGAAAUACAGAGCACGCGCGGGACAUAUGGUGCCGAAACCCGGGAACAUGUGAACAUUUCCAGCACCUCGGAGACCCCUCUAACGAGGCGGAUUCAGAACUGCAGGGUGGUAAAUUCGGAGAGGAUGAAGAGAAUCCCCUGUGGAUCCCGGAAAGACUCACCCAAAGAGCCCCUUUGGACCCUCAAAAGUCGGAACUCCACCCUCUCCCCGGGAGUUGAGAGCCGCUAUUAUCCAGAUUAACUCCUGUCCUUGACGGAGAGAUUGUCAUCAUGGAUUGCUUCAGCUGUCUCCUAUUUUAAGGAAAUGGGUGGAGGUGGGAUUGUUUGGUGCAGCCGUUUGCUGCGGAUUGAUGUUGCUUCUCUGGCUGGUCUGUAGGCUCAGGGCUCAAACUAAGAGAGACAAGGUGGUUAUCGCCCAAGCGCUUGUAGCUUUGGAACAAGGGGCUUCCACUGAUAUUUGGCUAACUAUGCUUAAGCAAUAGGCCGCUGGCCAGACAGCUCUUGCACACCCGGAGCCUAGGCUCAUUGCACAGGGUAGAGUGUCUGGUCUGGGCAGCCCAAUGAGGGAUGCUGAGCAAAGGCAUCGCACAGAGUUGCCUAUUAUACAGGCUUCUCUGGGAGGUACGUUGACCUGCAUAAGGGUUACCUGCCCUGAGACUCCCUUUCCCAGAAAAACGGCAGAGGACAGGUCGAGAGUGCUUCGGGUCAAGCUAACAGCCUAGUCGCGACUCUUGUACACAGUCUUAAUAUUUGAUUGGGAAGGUACAACCUCUGCCUCUAUCCCUCAACAUAUGGGUGACCUAUUUGCUUGUAAUAAUAUAAAGCCUUUUCAUUAAUUAAUAAAAAAAGGGGGAUCUGUAGGGAGCCGUCCCUG